ensembl:lncRNA
UUUUCUUAAAUAUGGCUGUUUCCCAGUUUUAUUUUUUUUUUUGUUUGUUUGUUUGUUUUUUUUUGUUUUUUUUUUAGGAUUUACAUUUAAAAAAAUGAGCCUACUUCAAACAUUUUAAGCAGCUUGAACAAAAACCUGUUAAUAUUUAUUAUAGACCACUGUAACUGUCUAUUAUCUAAAAAAAACAAAUUUAUUAUGAAAAUAAAAGUGUGUACACCAGUUAAACUGGAUGAUAAAGAAAUUGCUAACAAUAGUUUAAUAGAGCAUGUUUUAGGUUUAUAGGUGUUUAGAUGCAGAAAUGGACAAAUCAAAUCAUAAUAAAAAUAAUAAUAAUAAAUACAUGAAUACAUACAAAAAAAGCAGCCAAGACGAAUGAUUUUCUGUUUUUAUAGAUUAAAAUUAAAGACAGAAAGCAGCUGGUAAAUGCAGUCACUUUAAUAUUCAAAUCCAGUAUCAUGAUACACUUCAGAUUUAUUUCUCAACUGUUUAUGUUCACGUGACUGUUUUCGUUUAUAUUCGCCAAGCUAUUAUGUAUUUUGAAAUAACCUUGUUCUUGAUUUGUUCGUUCUUGCCAGAAUCAGCGUCCUCUGGAUUUCGAGAGAUCGAUGUUAUUCUGCCCUUAGACAGUCUCGCGCUGUCAAAUAGUCUUUAAAUUUUCACAAUCAAACAGCUCACAAAUACCUGAAUUUAGCUCUUGUUGUGUUCUAAUGGGUGGAUUGUGUGCAUUCGCGGUAAUAUUUUAUUUUAAAAAGCUCUUAAAACUAUAAAAAUGCUUUUAUUGUGAGCUCGUGAGACUGCACGCGCUGAUGCAGCGGUGAUUUCUCUCUGGUCCUUCUCACUG